rnacentral:rRNA from 1 species
CAAUAUCGUAUAUUUAAGUUGCUGCAGUUAAAAAGCUCGUAGUUGGAUUUCGGGUGGGAACGGCCGGUCCGCCGUUUCGGUGUGCACUUGCUACGCCCACCUUGCUGCCGGGGACGUGCUCUUGAGUUCACGCUCGGGACACGGAGUCGGCGAGGUUACUUUGAGUAAAUUAGAGUGUUCAAAGCAGGCCUACGCUCUGAAUACAUUAGCAUGGAAUAACACGAUAGGACUCUGGCCUAUCUUGUUGGUCUGUAGGACCGGAGUAAUGAUUAAGAGGGACAGUCGGGGGCAUUCGUAUUUCAUUGUCAGAGGUGAAAUUCUUGGAUUUAUGAAAGACGAACUACUGCGAAAGCAUUUGCCAAGGAUGUUUUCAUUAA